CUGCCCUCAGCAUCCCUUCUGGGCAGCAGACGCAGUUUGUCAACAUUCUGCUUUUAUGAGAACAGUUUGCUGUUUACUCAUAUAGCCUCCAGUGAUAUACUGAGUUGAUCACGACCCUCACUCUUUUGGCCUGCAACAGUCUCCUCCUAUUUUCAGACUGAGGUUGACUGUGAGGUAACUGAAACCACGGAAAGCAAAACUGCCAACAAGA
rnacentral:lncRNA from 1 species